UACGUAGGGGGCAAGCGUUAUCCGGAUUCACUGGGUGUAAAGGGAGCGUAGACGGCCAUGCAAGCCUGGAGUGAAAGCCCGGGGCCCAACCCCGGGACUGCUCUGGGAACUGUGCGGCUGGAGUGCGGGAGGGGCAGGCGGAAUUCCUGGUGUAGCGGUGAAAUGCGUAGAUAUCAGGAGGAACACCGGUGGCGAAGGCGGCCUGCUGGACUGCAACUGACGUUGAGGCCCGAAAGCGUGGGGAGCAAACAGG
rnacentral:rRNA from 1 species